UACGGAGGGUGCAAGCGUUGUCCGGAAUCACUGGGCGUAAAGGGCGCGUAGGCGGCUCAUGAAGGCUGUGGUGAAAGUCCGGGGCUCAACUCCAGAACUGCCUUCGAUACUGGCGAUCUCGAGUCCGGAAGAGGUGAGUGGAACUCCUAGUGUAGAGGUGGAAUUCGUAGAUAUUAGGAAGAACACCAGUGGCGAAGGCGGCUCACUGGUCCGGUACUGACGCUGAGGUGCGAAAGCGUGGGGAGCAAACAGG
rnacentral:rRNA from 1 species